AUUUGGCACCUGUCGGUUGCAUCACCUAUAAGCAUUCUUGGUAGGGCUAGCCAUCAGCCUAAAUGUUUUAGCUGGUUUGUGUGAGAGGAUGGUGAGCGUGUGAUUUGUGCAUGAAAGUUCUGCUGACAGUUUAGGGCGUGUAUCUUUUCAGUGUCUUUACACAGUUUGGCGACAGAACGUCCACAUCAACGCUUCAGGUCUUGCACUGUCUGCAUAAUGGAUAGCAAUAACUGGUGACCUCGAAGCGCACGUGUAGGUAAGAUAUUUACUGCAUCUGUCCAUUUUGGCUGUCUAUUUUUAUAUGUUCGUGUCUGUUAAUUGUGGGAUUAAUUUACAUAUUUGAGCUCCCGCACCUCCCGCAGUUAGUAAAACACAAAGUGGUGAUUUGCCCAAUAACACGAUGUUAAAACGUCGCCGACUACAAUAGCUUUGCCGGGGCCGAGAAGGGGUCGAAUGUCUGUUUACCCCUCAACUGUAAAAUAUCGAUAAACUUAUAGAACUAAAAACUUGAUGGAUGCUGUCUGACAGAACUUAUCCGCACCCGUAUGGCAGUAUUACUUAACAUGGCUGUUCUGUAACAGGCACUUGCAAAGACCACAGUCGCCUACAUGAUCAAACUUGAACUGUUCUCCCGGAACACCGACUGCUUCAAUAUUUGUCCUGCUUCUCGUCACUUGUUACUCAUGCCGCUAGAAACUUUUGCUGAGAUGUUAUGACAAAUUUCAGUCAUCGUUUCUGGUAGUAGGGGUAGCAUAAAUUUCAGCAGCCACGUGUCCAAAGUCUGUAGUGUUAUCGGAACUUAAGAAAACACAAAACAUUUGAAUAUAUAUUUAAAGAUGAUUGAUUUGUGUAGUGUCCAGGGGCCUGUGGUGUGUGGGUGCCUUUGUAUACCUGUAUCAGUGAGAGCAGAGCAGAGUGGUGUGGUGGUGUUACCACACGCUAGGGAACCUAUGCUAUCUCAGGUAUGUUGGUGAACUUGCUCUGUGGAGAAACCAUCCAGUUUGCUUCCUCAUUCAACUCUCAAACCUGAAUUAAGGUGUGGGACUAGUUACUGACUCAUUCUCAGCAAAACAUUGACAACUAGGACUACAGUAUAUACUACACAUACAUGUAUAUAGUCACAUAACACAAUUUCCUAUUCUGGGACCAUAAUAUUAACCCAAAACGAUUACAUGUCCUGUAAUGUCACUAUUCAAAAUUAAUAAAAAAGCAUUAUACAUCGAGUUGCGUUGCCUGAUUGGUAUAUCUGGUAAAGACACUCCUUACGACAAAACAUAAUUUACAGUUGGAACAGGUUUGUCUGGUAACAGGUGUCUCUGAUUGAAAGGAGCUGGAUUGUCUUGUGAUGUAAAUAUUGAUCUGUAAUCUAACAAGCCCAAACUGGCAGAUCCCAUGUGAAACAUUCUUUUUUUUUUUCUUUCUUUACUUUUUAAAUAGUUUCUUUAUUCAAAUAUGUGUACUGUUACAUAAUGAUAACCAUAAUAAAGACAAAUCUGGUGAU